UCAGUGGUUCUGGGUCUUGGCUGCACUUUCUAAUUACCCAGGAGCCGUUUGAAUGUACCCUGCCUGGAGCCCACGCCCAGAAGUUCUGAUUUAAUUGGUCUGGGGUGGGGCCUGGACUUGGGUGUUUUUUAAAAAACUCUCCAGAUAGAUCCAACGUGCGGCGCAAGUCAAAGACUCCAGCUCUAACCUGAAAAGUUGUUUUGUUCCCACAAACAUUUCCUGAGCGUUUACAAGGUACCGAAUUGUGUGUGGCUGGUGGGAGAGGAGGGCGGCGGAGGAACACAUGGAAAACCAGGUGAGGGCCCGGCCACCCAAGUUCCUGAUGGCCUCGAACGGAGGAGCAGAACACAACAGGAUUCCGCCACCACGAGUGAAGCGAGCAUUGGGGCUGGAAAUGUGGGUGCUCUGGAAGGAAAGGUGAAGGAGCCAUUGGUUCUGAGGAAAGUGAGAACGAUACAGCCAAACCGCCAGGACUCAGAAUGCAGGACACUGAAGUGGGGACUUCGGCACACAGGUGGACACACAGAAAGGGGCUGUUAUCGGUCAUCCUGCUGAAAUGCAAGGGUUUCCAAGUCCUGCUAAGGACCUUUCAAAAGAGUUACUCAAAUGCUUUGAGGAGUAUAGCCUAGAAAUAUUCAUGACAGUUCAUGUACCAGUUGGGACAGGCUAUAUCGCGCUGCAGUAUCAAUGUCAGGUCUCAGAGCCCGAGAUGACAAAGGGGGAUGCUCGUCACGGUCACUCAGAGACCCAGGAGAAUGGAGCAGCCGCCGGCUUGAAUUUCUGCCCCCGUGACAAAAGGAAAGUGCUCUGGAGGGCCUGGCAUGAGCGGUUAAAUGCUCUGGCCCAAAGUGGCACACAACACUUCUACUCACAACUCAUUAGCCAGAACUAGCGACAUGGCUCCGCCCAACCACAAGAGAACCACAAGAACGACACCACCAUGCGCCGGAAAGCCAGAAAGCCAGAGAGCCAGAAAUAUUUGAUAAAAAGCACCAAAUACUAACCACCCUAACCAAGCCUAACAUUUAUUGAAUGCCUUCUGUGUACGAGCACUCUUCUCACUGCUUUUUAUUUAGAAACUCACCUGCUCCUCGCAAUAAAUCUGUGAAAUAGCAGUAUGAUUAUCUCCAUUUUGUAGGCAGGUAAGGCCAGAAAACUUCAACGCACAAAGAUCACAGAGCUAGUCAACAGGAGAGCUGGGAUCCAAUCCCAAACUGCCUGGUACCACAGACCAUCCUUGCAGCCACUGUGACAUUACGCCUAUGCUAUAAAGCUAGCAAUUUCUCCCCAACACUCCUAAUCAAGAAAUUCUGGUCCACCCAUAACCUGUUGUUCUCGGAGGCUUAGUAUGGAAGCUGCCUACAGCUCUGAAAAUCAUAUUGGGGGCAGAAGGAGGGACCCUAAAAGCAGAGAAAACCAUAAUAAUUUCAUUGAUAAUAUUAAUAGCCCCAAACAUUUAUUAAACACUUACUGUGUGACAGGCACUAUGCCAAGCACUGAACCAGUGCCAUCUCACUUAAUGCUGUGAAGGUCGUGAAACCAAAUCCUCCUGUGACACCGUAAGAUCUCGCUCAGGCAGGGCCUCUCGAGUAUCCAUUCUGCAAUUCCUGCCUGGAGUAAAGAGAUUGGCUCACAUCCUCCACCAGCCCCAGGAAAGUUUAAAUAUCUCAAAAAUGUUGGCUCUCCUAAUCAGACUUUGGACAAGCUACUGAACUGCCUUCAGGUUCAGUUUGCUCAAGUGUAAAACGGACAUAGCAAUAUUGCUGACUCCAAAGCGUUGUUCCUCAAAGAUUGAGAUUUAAAUAAGAGACUUCAUUUGAUGGGCUGAACUGAUGCACAAGUCCAUUUCCCCUCCUUCCGCAAACAUACAGAAAUGCUAGCGAAAGUUUUACCUCCCCCCCCCCCCGCAAAGGUUUUUAAUACAUUGGUGGAGUCAAAAGCAAGAAAUGGUGCCAGAUAUAGGGAGAACUUCAAGCUACAGGGAUGGACAAAAGCUGAAGCCAGACAACUCACCGAGCUUUCAGAAAUAAUAAAGGUCUUAGGAACCUGCGUUAAGGCAAUAGGAGAGGAAGGCUUAGGUCCCAGCAAGGAUGGAAAAUGGACCCGAACCUCCUAGAUAAAAAUCAGGAUUAACGAAGGGACGACCCACCAGCCUUUAGAAGCAGCUUGGAAGCUGGCUGGCCACACCGGACCAAGAAUGGAGAAAGAAUAACCCUUGAGGCAAUCCCCAUCCUACAUAUUUACCCAAGAGAAAUAAAAGCAUAUGUCUACAAAAAAAGGCUCAUUCCUAGAAGCCUUACUCAAUAGCUAGAAGCUGGAAAUAACCCAAAUGUCUAUUAACAGCAGCCUGGAUGAACAUAUUGCUGUCGAGUCAUACAAUGGAAUGCCACGUUGCAACGAAAAAGCGCAAAAUAGUGACAGCGGCACCCGGAAGUGGGGCAUUUCCUAUAACAAACACCUCAAGAUGCGGAACUGACUUUGGAAUUAAGUAAGGGGUAUAGACUGGAAGGAUUUUGAGAAACAUUCUAGAAAAAGGCUAGAUUGCCCUGAAUAGGUUGUUAGUAGACAUAUGAAUGUUAACAACUCUGCUAGUGAGAAUUCAAGAAAAUGAGAACUGUGGUAUAGAAAACGUACAUCAUCUUAGACGAUGAUGCCUAAAUUGUCUUAAACAGACCGUUGUUAGAAAUAUAGAAGUUAAAGGCACUUCUGGUGCGGGCUCAGAAGGAAAUGAAGAACCCGUUAUUGGAAAAUGGAGCAAAAGGCGUCCUGUUAUAUAAUGACAGAAAGUUUAGUUGAAUCGUGUCCUACGGUUAUAUGGAAAGAAGCCUAUCCUGAUUGCAAAAGACAAUACAGUCAGGAGACUC
ensembl:lncRNA